rnacentral:rRNA from 1 species
UGCGACCCCAGGUCAGGCAGGGCUACCCGCUAAGUUUAAGCAUAUCAAUAAGCGGAGGAAAAGAAACUGACAAGGAUUCCCCUAGUAACGGCGAGCGACGGGAAAU